GAGUUUGAUCAUGGCUCAGGACGAACGCUGGCGGCGUGCUUAACACAUGCAAGUCGAACGCUGAAGCUUGGUGCUUGCACUGGGUGGAUGAGUGGCGAACGGGUGAGUAAUACGUGAGUAACCUGCCCUUGACUCUGGGAUAAGCCUGGGAAACUGGGUCUAAUACUGGAUACGACGGCGCAUCGCAUGGUGUGUUGUGGAAAGGGUUUUACUGGUUUUGGAUGGGCUCACGGCCUAUCAGCUUGUUGGUGGGGUAAUGGCUCACCAAGGCGACGACGGGUAGCCGGCCUGAGAGGGUGACCGGCCACACUGGGACUGAGACACGGCCCAGACUCCUACGGGAGGCAGCAGUGGGGAAUAUUGCACAAUGGGCGGAAGCCUGAUGCAGCGACGCCGCGUGAGGGAUGACGGCCUUCGGGUUGUAAACCUCUUUCAGCACGGAAGAAGCGAGAGUGACGGUACGUGCAGAAGAAGCGCCGGCUAACUACGUGCCAGCAGCCGCGGUAAUACGUAGGGCGCAAGCGUUGUCCGGAAUUAUUGGGCGUAAAGAGCUCGUAGGCGGUUUGUCGCGUCUGCUGUGAAAGCCCGGGGCUUAACCCCGGGUGUGCAGUGGGUACGGG
rnacentral:rRNA from 1 species